CCGAAUGAUACUGGCGGGAGAGAUCUGGAAAACCAGACGCCGAAGGAGAAAAUCCCUGAAUCGCUUUUCAGGGAAGAAACUCUCAGGCAGAAAGUACCGCUAGUAGACGGGACUCUGGAGAGUUUCUUGUAACAGAGAACACCAAAGGGGAUGCCGAGACGGCGAAUCUCUCAGGUUAAAGGACAGAGAA
rfam:Desulfosporosinus sp. BRH_c37 BRHa_1005183, whole genome shotgun sequence.